rnacentral:rRNA from 1 species
AAAUUUAUAAUCUCGCACCUUCGGUGUCCGAGUUGUAAUCUCUAGAAAUGUUUUCCGCGUUGGACCGCACACAAGUCUGUUGGAAUACAGCGGCAUAGUGGUGAGACCCCCGUAUAUGGUGCGGACGCCCAGCGCUUUGUGAUACAUUUUCGAAGAGUCGAGUUGUUUGGGAAUGCAGCUCAAAUUGGGUGGUAAAUUCCAUCUAAAGCUAAAUAUUGGCGAGAGACCGAUAGCGAACAAGUACCGUGAGGGAAAGAUGAAAAGCACUUUGGAAAGAGAGUUAACAGUACGUGAAAUUGUUGGAAGGGAAACGCUUGAAGUCAGACUUGCUUGCCGAGCAAUCGGUUUGCAGGCCAGCAUCAGUUUUCCGGGAUGGAUAAUGGUAGAGAGAAGGUAGCAGUUUCGGCUGUGUUAUAGCUCUCUGCUGGAUACAUCUUGGGGGACUGAGGAACGCAGUGUGCCUUUGGCGGGGGUUUCGACCUCUUCACACUUAGGAUGCUGGUGGAAUGGCUUUAAACGAC